CCUCAGCAAGACUGUGACAUCAUGAACCACAAAACUGGUAAAAGUAGGAGCUAAGCAAGGAAGGGACAUUCAGUCUCCAGAGAGGUUUUGAGAAUCUUUUGUCUGCCUCUUUGCUGUAACAGAGGAAGACUGACAAUUAUUGCCAAGCUCUUUCAUUUUAAGGGCAUCCUUAGGAAUCCCUUUGUCAGACUGGAGCAUCUAGAGGGCAGCACUGUCCUUUGGGUUGUCCUGACAUGUUAGUCGAGCAGCAACGACCUCAAUAGCCAGCACUUGACAUCACAGCGGGCUCUGUCAGUGCAUUGUGCCAACCUUGCCACAACCUUGCCAGUGAAGCCCUGAAGCUUAUGUGUGGUGCCAACACGUGAACUGCCCUUCUGAAAUCAGUGGGACCUCUUAGGCUGACAGACUCCUAGAGAUGCAGUAAGUUAUUUAUGAGGUAAUACUUGGGCCCAGCGGAGCAUUCAGACCUGAGCAAUGGGAUGUUUUUGUGCUGGAAGUCAGAAGCGUGAGACCGAUGAGUAUUUUGUUACUUAGUUCUAACAGAGUUACUCAUACAAGUACAGACAAUUCAGCGCAGCACUUUUCCCUAGCCCUCUGUAUUGCUCUGAUGAACCAAAUGUUGGUUCUGUUCCUGUGCUUAAUGUGUUUAUUCAAUUUCCAAGCUUGCACUGAAGAGUGUAGAGACUUGUUUGAACUCCUUUUAAUAAUUAAUUUUAUCGUAGUUCUCAUCAUUGCCAGCUGUUGCUUUAAUAGCUUACAAAUAAAGUAAUAAAGUUGGGAUAACAACUAGUGACCUGAGAAGGAUGUGGGAGAAACACUGUGUGCUUGCCUGGGUGCCGUUAAUAACAGAGAUACGAACAUUUCCUAUUCUCAUCAGUGCUGUCUGACCCCAGGCAGUGAGCAUCAGGCCAUGUGAGACAGCAUAGAAACAUGUACAUAUACACAAGUGCACAGAUCACGUGGUAUCCU